rnacentral:rRNA from 1 species
GCUUAACGCGAAGAACCUUACCUACUCUUGACAUCCAGAGAACUUGGCAGAGAUGCUUUGGUGCCUUCGGGAACUCUGAGACAGGUGCUGCAUGGCUGUCGUCAGCUCGUGUUGUGAAAUGUUGGGUUAAGUCCCGCAACGAGCGCAACCCUUAUCCUUUGUUGCCAGCGGUUAGGCCGGGAACUCAAAGGAGACUGCCAGUGAUAAACUGGAGGAAGGUGGGAUGACGUCAAGUCAUCAUGGCCCUUACGAGUAGGGCUACACACGUGCUACAAUGGCGCAUACAAAGAGAAGCGACCUCGCGAGAGCAAGCGGACCUCAUAAAGUGCGUCGUAGUCCGGAUUGGAGUCUGCAACUCGACUCCAUGAAGUCGGAAUCGCUAGUAAUCGUGGAUCAGAAUGCCACGGUGAAUACGUUCCCGGGUCUUGUACACACCG